UACUAUCGAAUGUACACGAAUGACAGGUGGUACUGUGAAUUUCUCGCUCGUACUUACACUUGAACAAAUGUGUAGUGUCUACAUCAUAUCUAAGAAACAAUAAUAAGCAAUAACAAGUGUGACAAUACAUAAACUAAUCGUGAUUCCUUGUAAUUGUGUGCAAUGCUUGCGCUUUAUGUACGCUGUUGGAUCUAGUGCGAUUGUUUAAGGUUUUAUAAUGAAUCCACCGAAUUCCCGUGAGCUGCCCAAAAAGAUUAGCUCCGUAAGAAAAGGUGUAGAAAACAAGUUGGCAUAUCUAUAUGGGGCAAUGCGUAUCUCGUAAGGCGGGCGCUGUCAUUGCAGCUUCGUCGUACCGAAUCAUGGACAAGCCCGCCAAAAAUAAGGACGAUAGCAAAAGUUCGUCGAAAAGAGGGGUACCCCAGACACGAGGCACUGCCAUAUCCUUCGGAUUCCGGCGAAAAUCUCGUGGCGACAAUCAGCACACAUCAAUAAAAAAUUAUGAGACCGAGGAGAUUCCACAACGUUCUAAAUCUGUUGGACCUGAACAAGUGAGGAGACGAUUAGUUGAUGAUGAUGAUCGACAUCAUCGAGUUCAAAGUGCGUCAUCAGGUCGAUCGACACCUAGAUUGGCACCACCCAAAAAAGAAGCUGUUAGUGGAGCUGCCGUGAGAACUAAUCGAUUCGGCUUUAGACAACCGCAAGCAAGGUACACAGACAAAGUGGCAGACAUUUGUUCCAGUCAUAGUGCGAGUCAUUUUAAUCAAGAAAAGAUGCAGCAAGAAGCAACUCAUCAUAUCUCACGAGCAUCAUCAAAAGUAAUUCAGCCAAUGUACUCCACCCAGCCCAGUUCAAAAUUACGACCAUCUCCAGUCAAUAAUCCUCCAGGAUAUCAUCACAACAAUAAUAAUAAUAAUAACAAUAAUAAUCAUGCCAUGGGCGAAACAAAUCGAAGAAUGACAGGCAUUCCAGAACCAGUCAGUAAAUAUACCCUCCAUACAAGUCAUUUACCUUUGCCACAAUAUGCUGUGAGAGUCAAUGACUCGAACUCAAAGGUCGCCAAAACAGCGGCCAAUCAAUGUCGAAAGAUUUCAACUGCUUCAAAAGGCUCCGCUAGUUCUCAAUCAGGUUCUGGAACUGAAGAUUCAGGAAUCAGUAGUCAACCGGGUUAUUCUGUGGAUAGCGAAACAUUGAGAAAUAUGGAUUAUAUGGAUGCAGGUUCUCCUGCUAGAAGGAUUAAUGUCAGACCAAGAAAUCUAAGGAUGGUCGUCAACGGAAAGAGUUUCGAUGUACGAGAUGUAGAUAAUGACAGUACUGUCACUGAGAUCUCAGUGAUUGCAUUGCCUAAGGCUUUUGCCAGCGUCAAUCUCAGCACAGGUUUAGUUCGAGAGCGAACCAAUCAGUAUCAAAGAAUCACAAAUAAGGACAAUAGGUAUACAGAAUCUACAACUUCAAUGUCAACAACCUCAUCUGAGGGUUAUGAUGAAGGUCUUGGUGAAGAGAAAGUAUACAAAGAUCGUUCACGUUCAGAAAAGAUUUCUUCAAUUAAAUCAGACUUCAGUCCACCCAGCUCCGAUGAUCCUGAAUACGGUCAUGGUGAGGCAAUGGCCGAUGAGUACUCUUUCAGCUCCAGCGAUGAGUGUCGAGCCAAUCACACUGAACAUCUUAAGACUAUUUCUAACGCAGUUAAGAGUGGAUCUCUGCCAAAGAGUACUUUACGCUCAGUAUUGCUUACCAUUGAAGAUCCUGCGUUUGCAGCUGCUGCUGCAACUUCUACUACUCUUAUAGAUGAUGAGACCUCACCAGUUGAUAGUUUAGUUGAUAGUUUAACAGCCAGUAUUACGCAGUCAGACGGGCAGCAGUCGAAAAGAGAAAAAGUGGUGGAAAAAGUCGAAAAUAUUGUUGAAGAUGAUUCUCCGGAAAAUUCUACAAAUGUUUCGAAUUCUCUAAGUUUAUCAGAAGGAAGAGAAUUUUUCGACGAUGAAAUUGCUGAUCAACCUGGAUUGACAUUUGAUGAUACAAUGAGAGGUGCACAUGAAACUCAGUCGGGUCGAGCGAGUCAAGCAGUUACCGACAACAGUCAUACAUUAGUUGAGCCUAUUCCAAAUAAACCAAAUUUACAACAAGGAAAAAAUGUAGAAAGCAGUCCUAUAAAUUGCCGACGAAUAAGUAGAACUGAUAGUGUAGGCACUUUGUCAACAUGUGAGUCAAUUACAUCUGAUGAUUUGAUGCUGGAUUAUGAAAGGAGUGAAACCAGUUCUUAUGGCGAAUCCAAUCGAUGGAUGGAUACCAGUCCAGCAGUACAUGAGAUCGAUGAGACAACAAUUCUUUCAGAACUUGAAGCGCAAGGUGAAGAAGUAAUGCGAGAAUUGUCUUCAUUAAUAAAUGCUCCUCCAAAAAACUCAAAUCUUAAUUUAGCAAAUCAUAAUUUAAAUAUCAACAAUAACAACAACAACAACAAUAAUAAUAAUCCUCCAACAGAAUCUGGAAUCGGCAGUGCAAGAACAUCGAGACUCUUACGUACUAGACCUGGAACAGAGUCACCGCGUUCCCUUGAUAGCGUGCGAACACGACAAAUACCCAGUCCUUUCAAGUUGGUGUCAACAGGAAAUGGACAAUCUCCUAACAUCGACUCUGGUGAUGAAGGAAGUCCAAGGCUGGAAAGAUGCAAUUAUCACCAGGAUUUAGUUCAUAUUAAGGCUGGGCUUUUAAAACUAAUGCGCAUCAUUCAGGAGACUGAAGAGAAUGUUUUGACGAGGGCGGAUACUCUCAACCCAUUCAACAACUCAACGGUGAAUGGUCUCUCCCAUAACCUGAAUGAAGAUACCUCAGUCGAUUCCAAUGGUUCUUUAGUUAAUGGAGCUUUAAAUAUUGCUGAUGAAUUGGCAGAUUUACGAAGACAAGUAAUUUUCCUUCAAGGCCAAGUAGAAGACAAAGACAGAAUGAUUCAGAAUCUUCAAUUGCAAGUAGCUAGGCAACAAGAAUUAAUGAAUAGUGUAGAUUCAACGAGCUGUGCUUCUUCGACUUAUGGAAGCAACAUGUCCCCUCUUAAAGAUGUAUGCAAUGCAGCAACACAAACAGAAAAAAUUCGUCCAGUAUCAGCAGGGCCAUCAUUACUUCAAUCAUUUCCACAAGAGAAUGGCAUGGGGCCUCUCGUAAGUCAUUUUACAAGUAUAUCAUAUCAAUGAACUAUUGUUAUUGCUGCCUUGGUUCGUGGUCUCAUUCUCUCUCUGGUUACACGACUGAAACAGCUUCAGGAUCGGGAAGUUGGAGUAACACGUGGAAUAAUCAAAAUUCAUCACCUCAGCGACCACCAUCAUUAGUAGAACUCAACACUACAAAAAAUCAUCUUAAGCCAAGCGAUCGUUUGCCAAAAAAUACAAAAUCUCGUCUUGAUAC
rnacentral:misc_RNA from 1 species